UCGAUAUGCUCCCGCCAAGUAUCGAUACUUUUAUUUAACAUAUUGGCCAUACAAUGGAGUAUGGAUGCUGUAAACUCCUCAGUGUUUGUUGAGCAAUUCCUUGGCGGUCCACUAGGGGCGCUCGGGAGUGGCGGUGAAGGUAAAGUGCCCACAAGUCGUCUAGAGAAGAAGAGAGAAGGCUCCAAGUGGGUUGAAAAAAUAAAAAAGCUUCGUGAGAAUGGUGGAGGAAAAAAUGAGAAAAUAUUGCUACAAAUCAAACAUGGGGACACACUUCAGAUUUUACACCAACCAGAAAGGAAGUAAGGUGAACAAGGACUUUGCUGUAUGCAAGAACUGUCUAACAAAAAUAAGGUCCACUGGGAGCUGGUGACGAGUUGCACACCGGAUUUCCCCAAGAGAGUCUGGCUGCAGCCUCUCGAUUUCUUCACUGCUUUGCUCUCAUCACUUGAGGUGAGGAAGAAUGUGACUGACCAAGUCUGACAUCUCAAAUGCUGAAGCAGAUAGUGGAAAUGCUCAAACCAACGCUUUUGGCAACAAAGGUCAUAUACGAAGAAAAGACCCACCAAUUUUAUCAUUGCCCCUCUCCAAGCUCAACUGCUGACUGACACCUACAGCACUGAUGUUUUUUUUUUUUUAAGAUUUAAAACUUAAAGGAAAUUAAGGGUGCCAUUCAUCAUAAUCUCUCCAAGAGAUAUCAGUGGUUGUGGUUUGUUUCCUCUCUAUGUGUAGGUGCACAAUUUGCAGUAGAUUGAUAUUUUACAGCAGUGCUGCACAGAAAAGGUGUCACUGUUUAAUAAAUGACUUAAACAGUA